rnacentral:rRNA from 1 species
GACAGAGGGUGCAAACGUUGUUCGGAAUUACUGGGCGUAAAGCGCGUGUAGGCUGCUUCGCAAGUCGGGUGUGAAAGCCCUGGGCUCAACCUAGGAAGUGCACUCGAAACUGCGAAGCUUGAGUCCUGGAGAGGAAGGCGGAAUUCUCGGUGUAGAGGUGAAAUUCGUAGAUAUCGAGAGGAACACCGGUGGCGAAGGCGGCCUUCUGGACAGUGACUGACGCUGAGACGCGAAAGCGUGGGGAGCGAACAGG